CGCUCACUGUACUGCAAGUAACUUUGGAUGAAAAGCAAUUUGCUAAGUGAUAUGUUAUCAUAUCAUUUGACUUAGUGUGUGGUAGAUGGACAUUUAGUGUACCCACAUUGUGCCCUGGAGCAAUGCACUUAACCUCACAACAUGCUCUCCAUUCAGGGGCCGCUGACUGCACUGCGGCUUGACACUGUGCUUCUAUUUACUGUGUGUGUGUGAGAUGUGCGCUAUGAGCAAGGGGGGGGGGGUACAGAACAAAAAUAUCCAUUAUUCGCUGUAGCAUAUAGACAAUAAAGUUGUAUUGUAUGGUACAUGCAGGUUGGAUCGUCCAGCCUAAGGAGCCAGCCCAUGAGGAACCUCAGUGGACUAAGCUGUGUCAUUGGGUGGUAGAGAGGCUGCAACUGGCUAGGAUACCCAUGUAUGAACUUGUAUUCUACUCUAUUAUGUUGUAGGAGAUCCUCACUAUGUUAUUAGCCAUGUUACAAUCCCCACCAAACAGGUUCAUCGCAUUGGUGCGAUGCAUAUUUGACAUUCAUGCCAGCGACCUGGGUUCACUUCCCCUGCUGUUCCCUACAAUAUUGUAUUAUAUUUCCACAGCUUUUCCUGCAACACAACAUAUCCCCAUGUCACCCUAAUGGCUCUUUCAAUUACUUUGAGUGUGCCAAUUUGUCCAUGUGUAUGACUUCAGUAUGAUACAGUACGACUUCAUUUAGAAAACAGACAACGGAACAGGCAGAGCGUGGGCUGAACAAACCACCCAUCCUCCGUCACUAUGGGGAUGCCAAGCCACACGUUAAACACCAGAAGAAGACAGGAGGAGGAAGCGGAGGAGGAGACAAGACCUGGCCUUACCCUCAGAUACCAGAGGUGAACCAGGAGGACCAGGAUUCACCGCGGCAGAAACUACACUACAGGAUCAAUGAUGGUUCCUCUUUCCUAUACUACCCGUCUGGUUGUGUAGCGGUGUGUCAGAGCCACUCUGGUCUGUCCUGUGGAGGGUUCUAUACUAACGUGUUCAGUGAUCAAGUCAGCCCUGUUACACUGGCCAGCAUCACCGCAGUAGGACGGGGCACCGUCACACACCCACUCAGGUAAACACAUGGUAAAUGGUUAAAAUUGAACUGAAUUUUCCAACAAUAAAGUUAACAGAAAUAGGGGCACUAAUAACAGUAUCUGACUGGAAGGACCCAUUUAUUUGUACUAAUGAAUGAAUUGAG
rnacentral:lncRNA from 1 species